rnacentral:rRNA from 1 species
UACGAAGGGGGUUAGCGUUGUUCGGAAUUACUGGGCGUAAAGCGCACGUAGGCGGGUUGUUAAGUCAGGGGUGAAAUCCUGGAGCUCAACUCCAGAACUGCCUUUGAUACUGGCAACCUAGAGACUGGAAGAGGUUAGUGGAAUUCCCAGUGUAGAGGUGAAAUUCGUAGAUAUUGGGAAGAACACCAGUGGCGAAGGCGGCUAACUGGUCCAGCACUGACGCUGAGGUGCGAAAGCGUGGGGAGCAAACAGG